rnacentral:lncRNA from 1 species
AAUCAUUGUUUUCGAAAUAAAACAAGACAAAAAACAACAGGGGAGGAACCGAAAAGUUUGACGGCAGCAAGCAUAAGCAGAGGCGACGACAGAAAGGAAAAAGAAAAAGGCUUCGAUCAAGGUUCACAUGUGAGAUUAAUAAUCGGAUGAACUUGAUAAUUGUAAUGGGUAUAAGGAUUGACUAAAGUCAGGUGUUCGAUCUAAAAUCUGAAGAUGGGGAAUUCAAGACUACGAUCCCAACAUAUUGAAAGGGGGAGUCUGAAGACAUCGAGAGAAAGAUUGAAGAUGUAGAAAGCCAAGUUUGAAAAGAAGAUAUAGAGAAUGAUUGAGGAUGCGUACAAUGGAGGAUCUUUGGAGAGAGCGAGCAGACUGAUAAAGACUUAAGGUUUGACAACCGAAGACUCGACACUGAAGACUCGUCAACAUCCGAGGGGGAGUCUGUUGGUGCAUCCGUCUGUCGACUUCGUCUUGUAUCGAGUCUUGUAAUGUAUUAGAUAGACCAGGGCAUGCAAAACGAGAAAUGUGAUGUAUAGGUAAUUCCGCACGGAAUUAUAAUUCCGCUUGGAAUUGUAUUUCCUCUUGGAACACCUAAUUCCGCUUGGCCUUAAUAUCGUUUGAACUAAUUCCGCGCGGAAUUAAGUUUCGCUUGUACCUGUUCACACGGAAUUAGGAGCUUAUAUAUACCUGAAGUGUCUGGUUCAUUUGUAACGAGAUUAGUUCCGACGGCGAAGCUCUGUCGAAGUGUCUACAACAUUGUAAACGAUCUAAUAUAAAUCAAAAGACAGUUUAAAGUGAAUUCUCGU